AUUGAACGCUGGCGGCAGGCCUAACACAUGCAAGUCGAACGGAGUGGCGGACGGGUGAGUAAUGUCUGGGAAACUGCCUGAUGGAGGGGGAUAACUACUGUAAACGUGCGCUAAUACCGCAUACUAUCAGAUGGGCCUAGGUCGGAUUAGCUAGUUGGUGGGGUAAAGGCCUACCAAGGCGACGAUCCAUAACUGGUCUGAGAGGAUGAUCAGUCACACUGGAACUGAGACACGGCCCAGACUCCUACGGGAGGCAGCAGUGGGGAAUAUUGGGCAAUGGGCGAAAGCCUGAUCCAGCAAUGCCGCGUGGGUGAAGAAGGUCGUCGGAUUGUAAAGCUCUGUAAGUGGGGAGGCGUUACCAAAAGAAGAAGCAACGGCUAACUCCGUGCCAGCAGCCGCGGUAAUUC
rnacentral:rRNA from 1 species